rnacentral:rRNA from 1 species
AUUGAACGCUGGCGGCAUGCUUUACACAUGCAAGUCGAACGGUAACAGGCCGCAAGGUGCUGACGAGUGGCGAACGGGUGAGUAAUGCAUCGGAACGUGCCCAGUCGUGGGGGAUAACUACUCGAAAGAGUAGCUAAUACCGCAUACGAUCUAUGGAUGAAAGCGGGGCACCGUAAGGCCUCGCGCGAUUGGAGCGGCCGAUGUCAGAUUAGGUAGUUGGUGGGGUAAAGGCUCACCAAGCCAACGAUCUGUAGCUGGUCUGAGAGGACGACCAGCCACACUGGGACUGAGACACGGCCCAGACUCCUACGGGAGGCAGCAGUGGGGAAUUUUGGACAAUGGGCGCAAGCCUGAUCCAGCAAUGCCGCGUGCAGGAAGAAGGCCUUCGGGUUGUAAACUGCUUUUGUACGGAACGAAACGGCUCUGGUUAAUACCCGGGGCUAAUGACGGUACCGUAAGAAUAAGCACCGGCUAACUACGUG